AGCCGGCCGUUUCCUCCAGGGCUUGAGGCCCUCCCGCAGACCCGCUUUUUAUCCAUGGGUCCUGUAAAGCCCUCCCGGCCCAGCCUCUCGCGUCGCGAUUGGGUGUGAGACAAAACCAGAGACCCCCAAGUCAAACCCUACCCAUUUGCUUGCAGCCGCCGGGUCUGGCCGCAUCCUCCUCUCCCCUCGCGCCCCUCCCAUCCCCGCCGCCAUCUCCCUGUGCUACGGCUCCUCCUCUCCGCCGGCCUCCUCCUCUGCGCCGGCCUCUUCGCUCCCUUACGUGUUGGUGUCAUCGUCGCCGGACUGCAGCUCAUGCCCUCUCUCGUCCUCUCCUCCUCCUCCUUUACCGCCUCUCCCUCUUCCAUUCAUCGUCCCUCCCUCAAUCCCAUCUCCAAGGUUGAGCUCGUGGCUGUUGAGCAUGGGAUGGCCAAGAGGGCCAUGGCUGCCCGCAUCUUAUCCCUUCCUCCACCGUGCUGGAGAAAGAAGAAGAGAUGGCAAGAAAAGGAGCAAGAGGAGGAGAAGGAAGAAUAGAAGAUCAACACCUUCCCUGUCUGAUUCCUCUUGAUCCAGCUCCAAGGAAGAGCGCCGACAAGUGAGGUAUACUCAGAAGGUAGCAUUGUCGUUUCGCUCGCUCGUGCGACCUCUAUGGCGGUGGGAUUUGACUGUAUGAGGUUUGCCAC